rnacentral:rRNA from 1 species
UCAAGCGAACAAGGGCGCAGGGCGAAUGCCUUGGCACUGGGAGCCGAUGAAAGACGUGAUAAGCUGCGAUAAGCUUCGGGGAGCUGCAAAUAAGCAUUGAUCCGGAGAUUUCUGAAUGAGGAAACUCACCUGGGUUCAUACUCAGGUACGUUGUACUGAAAUUCAAAAUAGGUACAUCGGGGGAACCGCCUGAACUGAAACAUCUAAGUAGGGCGAGGAAGAGACAUCAAACGAGAUUCCGUAAGUAGUGGCGAGCGAACGCGGAAGAGGGCAAACCGAGAGUAGAAAUACUUUCGGGGUACGGACUGCUUUUAAGACUCGAUCUGUUAACCGAACGGCAUGGGAAGGCCGGUCAGAGAGUGUGAGAACCACGUAGGUGAAAACGGAAAGAGCUGCGCAGAUUCCAGAGUACGGCCAGACACGUGAAACCUGGUCGGAAGAUGGGGGGACCACCCUCCAACCCUAAAUACUACCCAGUGACCGAUAGCGUAUAGUACUGUGAAGGAAAGGUGAAAAGCACCCCGGGAGGGGAGUGAAAAAGAACCUGAAACCCUGUGCCUACAAGCACCUAGAGCACGUCAAUGUGUGAUAGGGUACUUUUUGUAGAACGGUCCGGCGAGCGAUUGUAUGCAGCAAGGUUAAGGACUUAAGGUCUGGAGCCGAAGCGAAAGCGAGUUUGAAAAGGGCGUUAAGUUGCAUAUAAUGGGCCCGAAACCGGGUGACCUACCCAUGGUCAGGUUGAAGUGGAAGUAAAAUUCCAUGGAGGACCGAACCGACCUCCGUUGAAAAGGCGGCGGAUGAACUGUGGGUAGCGGAGAAAUUCCAAUCGAACCCGGAGAUAGCUGGUUCUCCCCGAAAUAGUUUUAGGACUAGCCUCAAGUUAGAUACCUGGAGGUAAAGCACUGAAUAGCCUAGCGGCCGAGAGGUUAGCGAAGCUUAUCAAACUCAGAAUGCCAGAGUAUUGAUGCUUGGGAGUCAGACAGUGUCAGAUAAAUGUCAUUGUCAAAAGGGAAACAGCCCAGAUCUACAGCUAAGGUCCCAAAGUCAGGUUAAGUGGAAAACGAUGUGAAGAUACGCAGACAACCAGGAUGUUGGCUCAGAAGCAGCCACUCAUUCAAAGAGUGCGUAAUAGCUCACUGGUCGAGCGUCUUUGCGCGGAGAAUUUAACGGGGCUAAACCUGACACCGAAGCUUAGGCAAUACAGCAAUGUAUUGGGUAGGGGAGCGUUGUAUACGCGGAGAAACAGUAGCGCAAGCGGCUGUGGAGUGUAUAGAAGUGAGAAUGCCGGAAUGAGUAGCGCGAAUGCAGUGAGAAUCUGCAUGGCCGAAAGCCUCAGGUUUCUGGAGGAAGGUUCGUCCGCUCCAGGUUAGUCGGGAGCUAAGGUGAGGCCGGAAGGCGUAGCCGAUGCACAGACGGUAGAGAUUCCGUCACCACCAAAAGAGUUAAGCACAGGGACACAUUUGAAGUCUCAGAGCCGGGUGUUGGUUCCGGUAGAGAUCGAGGGAAGUUAGUACCGAAGUCUGGGAUGGAAGAUGGCGAGAAAAGCUGUGUGUAUUUCUGAGGUGCCCGUACCGCAAACCGACACAGGUAGGUAGGAAGAAGAUUCUAAGGCCAACGGGAGAAGGGUUGUUAAGGAACUCGGCAAAUUGACCCCGUAACUUCGGGAGAAGGGGUGCUCCAGAGAUGGAGCCGCAGAGAAUCGGCCCAAGCAACUGUUUACCAAAAACACAGGUUUGUGCUAAAUCGAAAGAUGACGUAUACGAGCUGACGCCUGCCCGGUGCUGGAAGGUUAAGAGGAGAUGUGCAAGCAUUGAAUCGAAGCCCCAGUGAACGGCGGCCGUAACUAUAACGGUCCUAAGGUAGCGAAAUUCCUUGUCAGGUAAG